GAAGGGGGAGAUCUUAAACUGGAGAGCCCGUAUUCAAAAGGUUCAAAUUUAAGUCACUUAAACACUGCCUUUCUGGCUUCACCUCUAACAGCUUGCUUACUUACCCUUCCCGGAAUCACAAGAUUGUCGAUGCCAAUCAAGUCUUUCUUGAGUUCAUGCAGCUUCUGGAAAUUCUCCAUCUUGAUCAUCGUACCGUGAAGCUGUGCCACCAUUUCAGUAACCUCUGCCAGAGCAGCUGACCAAGGGAACAGAACCGGAAAUGGCAGCAUUAAUGGCGGACGAGGGUCUGUUUUCCCAUCAGACUUCUGGGGGGGAUAUCCUCCAGUAGACGCCCUAAGAUAGAGGCUGUCCUUCUAGGAGAAAACACUGCUAUUUCUAAUAAAAAU
rnacentral:lncRNA from 1 species